CUCUACCAGAAAGGUAUAGAUACUUGUUGAGAAGGUCCCCAUGUCUGUUCUCUUCAGCAGUCCAAGCCCUCGUCCAGACUGCCCAAGAAGUAAGGCUUGCCCCUGUCUCAUCUCGAACUCCAUCAAGGGUGUUGAGCAUUGUUUGAUAUGUAGGAAGAGCUUCUUCAGUGAUCAUAUCUCCAACCAAGCAAACAUAAUAAUCAUCAGGGAUCUCCUUAGAGCGUUCUCUCAGUUCCUUAACCUCUUCAUGAAAUCCUUCUGAUGAUGGAUCAGGCAGAAAAUCCUGGGGCUGCCAACACUUCUCAACAGGCUUCAAAUGCACCAAGAUAUUAUUUUCUGCCCAGUCCUCUAAUGACUUAAAAAUCUCAAUCUUCUGAGGUGGCAUUGAAUGUGUGACCUGAACAUGUACCUCACGCGGAGGCAUGAAGGGC
rnacentral:lncRNA from 1 species